rnacentral:rRNA from 1 species
GACGAACGCUGGCGGCGUGCUUAACACAUGCAAGUCGAACGGAAAGGCCCCCAUCUUGGUGGGUGUUCUCGAGUGGCGAACGGGUGUGUAACACGUGGGUGAUCUGCCCUGUACUUCGGGAUAAGCUUGGGAAACUGGGUCUAAUACCGGAGAGGACCAUGGUUUAUUGUCUCAUGGGGGAAAGAUUAUUGUUUGGGUGCAGGAUGAGCUCGCGGCCUAUCAGCUUGUUGGUAGGGGAAUGGCCUACCAAGGCGUCGACGGGUAGCCGGCCUGGGAGGGUGGACCGGCACAUUGGGACUGCGAUACGGGCCAGACUACUACGGGAGGCAGCCGUGGGGAAUAAUGAACAAUGGGCGCAAGACUGAUGCAGCGACGCCGAGUGGGGGAUGACGGCCUUCGGGUUGUAAACUCCUUUCGUUAGGGACGAAGCCACGCUUUUUGAGUGUGGGGACGGUAACUUUGUUAAGAAGCACCGGCUAACUACGUG